UACGUAGGGUGCAAGCGUUAAUCGGAAUUACUGGGCGUAAAGCGUGCGCAGGCGGUUCGUUAAGACAGAUGUGAAAUCCCCGGGCUUAACCUGGGAACUGCAUUUGUGACUGCAAGGCUUGAGUGCGGCAGAGGAGACUGGAAUUCCUGGUGUAGCAGUGAAAUGCGUAGAUAUCAGGAGGAAUACCGAUGGCGAAGGCAGGUCUCUGGGCUGACACUGACGCUCAUGCACGAAAGCGUGGGGAGCAAACAGG
rnacentral:rRNA from 1 species